rnacentral:tRNA from 1 species
CGGAGAAUAGUUUAAAAGGUAAAAAUAUUAGUUUUGGAUUCUAAAGAUAAUUUUGUUUUCUCUGA